rnacentral:rRNA from 1 species
CGUGUAGGCGGCUAUCUAAGUCUGGUGUGAAAGCCCGGGGCUUAACCCCGGAAGUGCAUUGGAUACUGGGUAGCUAGAGGACGAGAGAGGGAAGUGGAAUUCCUGGUGUAGGGGUGAAAUCCGUAGAUAUCAGGAGGAACAUCGGUGGCGAAGGCGACUUCCUGGCUCGUAUCUGACGCUGAGACGCGAAAGCGUGGGGAGCAAACAGGAUUAGAUACCCUGGUAGUCC